CUUAGAAAUAUUUUUACUACUGUAUCUGAAUGGCUCUUUGGUUGAAAACACCCUUUGCAUGGUACAAUCAGCUUGGUGAUUCCAUCUUAUGGUAGAAUCAGCUCAGCAUGUACAAGUAUUGAUGUUGAAUAAAAU